UACGUAGGGGGCUAGCGUUGUCCGGAUUUAUUGGGCGUAAAGAGCGUGUAGGCGGCCAGGUAGGUCCGUUGUGAAAACUCGAGGCUCAACCUCGAGACGCCGAUGGAAACCCCCUGGCUAGAGUCCGGAAGAGGAGAGUGGAAUUCCUGGUGUAGCGGUGAAAUGCGCAGAUAUCAGGAAGAACACCCGUGGCUAAGGCGGCUCUCUAGUACGGUACUGACGCUGAGACGCGAAAGCGUGGGGAGCGAACAGG
rnacentral:rRNA from 1 species